GUGUCAAUAGCUCAGCUGGAUAGAGCAACGGCCUUCUAAGCCGUAGGUCGGGGGUUCGAAUCCCUCUUGACACG
rnacentral:tRNA from 6 species